UGGCUGCUUGACCUCAUCCGCCCCUGGCUGGCUGUCCCUCCAUCGCCCUGGCUCCUUCCAUCCCAGUCCCUGUGUCCCCGAAGGCAAGAAGAGAAAGGCAGUCAUCCAAGUCCUGGCAGGGCUGAGAAGGGGCCCUGGGGUCACCAGCUUUUUCCUUUCUACCUCGGGACGCCUGGAAACGGGAAAUGGACAUGCCCAGAAGACUUGGUUCUCCUGUGUAGCCCACUCUCGGGGUCUUCCUGCUUCGGCUUCCCGUGCUAAGAUUAUAGAUACGUGUCAUCACACCACAACUACACGCUUCUUUUUUGCUGUUGUUGAAUGGAAAAUUACACUUCCAUUUCUAGAUGACUCCAGUGUGGCCAUCCAUGCAGGCAAUGUGUCCUCGCCCCUGCUCCUGAAGGGAGAUGAGUCAGCUGGCUGAUGGGACAAGGAAUCAACACAGACCCUAUCCAUCUCUUCAACUUGUUCUGGAGACACAAGUCAUAAUUAGGUCACCUGUAGCCAAGGUUGGGCGAGAGCCAGGCAGCUGGGAAAGUGGAGGCUACUUCUGUCAUCAGCAGAUCUGAACUUUCCAGCCUCAGGUGGCAUCUGAUUCCAAGGAGAGACUUUGGGAUGAGCUGACAGAGCUCACAGCAUGUACAGGCUGGGGCUGGUGGCACAGGCUUCUAACCCCAGCAGUACGGAAAGCUGAGGCCUGCGGAUGAAAAGUUUAAGACCAGCUGUGUUAUAGAGAGAGUUCAAGGCCAGCUUGGAUGACUUGAGACCUGCCUCAAAAUAAGGAGUUGAAAAAGUAUCCUUAGAGCCACUCACUGCCUAGAAUCCCCCAGUGAGGGGCUGGGGGUGUGGCUCAGUGGUAGAGCCCCUGCCUAGAAUCCUCCAGUGAGGGGCUGGGGUGUGGCUCAGUGGUAGAGCACCUGCCUAGAAUCCCCCAAUGAAAGGCAGCUUUCCAUAUCCUACUAUGUCUGCUGUCCUUGAAUCCCUCUCUCAGGGUAGAGACUCCGGAGCCCAACUUAGGCUUCAUUGAGGGAGGUUUCUAUUGAAAGGAAUUUUUGCUUGCUUGUUUUUAUUGCUGAGACAGGGUUUCAAAAUGUAGCUUAGACUGGCCUUGAACUGUUUCACUUUCCUGCUGGUGUCACAGUCAUGGUCCACCAUGCCCAGCUGCCAUAGAGGAUUUAUAAGCAAGUUAAGUGUGGUGCUCACCGGAUUGGCAUCCAAGCUGGUGUCCCAGUUCUCCUGAUGCAGACUCAGAGUUUUGCUCAAACCAGAGUCUUCCUUAGUCCUUCCUUAUACCUUAGUACCAAUUAGACAUGAAGGAACCAUUCUACCGGAGCCGUAUGUAUGUGUGUGUGUGUGUGUGUGUGUGUGUGUGUGUGUGUGUGUGUGUGAGGCAGCGUCUCUCACUGGUCUGGAGUUCCUCAAAUAGGUUAGUUGGGCUAGUCAGCAAAGUCCUCAGGGAUUCACCUGCCUCUGCCUCCCCAGUGAGGGGAUUAUAAACUCACAGCUUUUACAAACAACAAAAAAAUAAAGUGGAUGCUGGGGAUGGAGUCCAGGCCCUCACCUUCGAAUAUCAAGCACAUUAUGGACCGAGGCAGCCCUCUCCAGCUCUGGCUGGUUCAGUGAUCUGACAUGUCUAUCAGUGUUGUCUGGGUUGACCAUAAAUGUAUGUAAGUCAGCAAACCCUAGACUUGAACCUGAGUGUGUAUCUGAUCCCCUUGAAGGUUUGGUGAACAGGUUCUGAUCCAGUUUGGGCCCAAGGACCACCCUGCCCCCAACAAUUAGAUGACUAAGUAGUCAGUCCUGAAGUCAUCAUAUACAUGCAAGGAACUUACGGAUUUAGAGACUAAGUAGCUUGUAGUUAUCUGCUUAUAUAACAACAAAGAGAAAGAGACUGGAGGCCAUGAAUUUGAGAGAGGGAGAAAAGGGGGAUAGAGACAGGGUCAGAGGGGGACAAAUAAUUGUGUUAGUCACUGUUCUAUUGCUGUGAGGAGCCAUUAUGACCAAGGCAACUCUUACUAAAAGAAACCUGUCUCACAGUUAGUCCAUGAUCAUCAUGGUGGGAAGCAGACAGGCAUGGUGCUGGGGCAGUAGCUGAGAGCUUUGCAUCCUGAGACACGGGGAGCAGGGAGAGGGAGGGACACUGGAUCUAGUAUGGGCUUUUGAAAUCUCAAGGCCCACCCUAGUGACACACUAUCUCCAAAAACCUCACAACUACCCCAGCAAGUCCGCUCUUCCUAAUCCUUCUAAUCCUUUCAAACAGUGACUCCCCGGUGACCAGGCAUUCAAACAUAUGAGCCACCACAAUAAUGCAUUUGAUUUCAAGAGUAAAGAUGUUACUAAAAGGGCAAUAUCCUAAAUAUAAUGAAAUUUCUAAAUUAAACAAAAUAAAACAAA